CUGGUCUGCUUGAACCAACCAUAACAAAGAAUUAGAGCUUGCCAAGAAGUGGUUUGAGGCUCCAGAUUGGUAAAUAGAACAAACAAUCGCGAUGUUGGUAGACCUCGAGGAUUUGCACCGAUAGAAACAAAUUGACAAGAAGAGUGUCUUCCAGCACAACUCUUUGCGGCGCGCGUGUGAAGCCGAGGUCAGGGGAUAUCUUAAAAAGAAAGCAUUAUGCACAGAUGCUAAAGCGCUGACCAGAGACAAAGAUCAUAGCUAUCCAUACAAUUCUUCUCGGAUAAGGACACCAAACCAGAGGUCCUGUCUCUUCAAGCUGCACUACACUAACCUGAACCGAAGGGACGUAAAAGAACCACUGGUGACGCAAUAAACCCUCUGGCAGUGACCACCCUCAGUGACAGUGCUUACUAACAAUACACACAAGGGGGCAUUUGAUGUGGAGCCCUAGCUCUGUUGUGCCUUCCGCACCAGUAUAUCUGGUGGAAAUUAGUACAACCACAGGGAGCCAUUCCAAGGUAAACAGCCCGCCUUUAUUAUUGUGACUCCUAGCGGGACCUGUAAUCCAUCAACAAUGACAUACCUGAUGGUAAACCAACAACAUUACAUCCUAACCCCAGGAUGCCUGCAUGCUCUAAUUGCGAUCACGUAAUGGUUUGGGCGUAUGUGCAAGACUGGCUCGCGAGUCUGUGACCUAUUGUCCAAUCAGGAGUGAUUUGCUUUGCGAUCAGUAAGCAGGCUAUUGAUCCUUGUGAGAAGCCUCGCUGGAUAUCCCUCCCCUUUUUACCACAGGAGCGCUGACUGAGUUUUGGCGACCUUUCAAAAUGAGAGUCGCCUUUAGCGUUCUUCUUUGUGUCUUGGUGGUCGUAACGGAGCUGUCUGCAUCGCCAAUAUCGGACAAAACAAAAGACGAAAAACACAGUGUUUCAACGACAAAAGAAACCAAUGAGUCUACAGAUGAGAAGUCAAAGAAGCAAUAUAUACCAGGAAUGCUUUCAUAUGAUAACCAGCAAACGGCGCCUUCAUACACGGGAUACGCACAACAGUUUGUUAAUUACGAUCCUUACGAUAUGGGAGUAGGGAAUCCCGAGAGAAUACAGGACAGACAAGUGGAAAUAGUUCAGAUCAAAUCACUGGACAUUAAAGAUGGUGUAAUAAAAAAGAGCGAUAUCGUAGAGGGUUAGAAACGCCGGUUUCUUGAACGUGGGAAUAUAAGGUUUUUACAUGGCGUAGACAAUGGUUGCUAUGAGGUCAUUUUGGAUUGCCUCUCGCACACUGAGAUCCAUUGCUAACGACUGUCCUCCGGGAGGGCAAAACGAAUGAUGUAACAAUCUUCAAGAGAAACCUUAGGGCUGGGAAGGGAUGGGAUGUGGGUGGGAAGUAUAAGAACAAGUAGAAAAGAAGGCAAGUUAUAUCGAGUUUUAUGUAAAAGGCUUUUACACAGGACGAUUAAGAAAUUUUGACGAUGCUUCGAGCGGAAAAUUUAUAAAAACGACUUCGUGGAGUGUCCUCACAGGGGGACGGCCUCAUGCAGAGUAAGCCAUUCCCAGAAAUAAGAGACAACAUGGCCGCCACGCAUGCGUAAAAGUGCACAUACAAUGUCAAAAUGGCUGCCAUUUACUAUAAGGAAAUGUGGGGAGACAUCACAAUUUAUCAAAUUUUUUCGUUUCAGAGAUUUUGGGCUCACGGUGCAGGACUCGAAAAAAAACCUUACCAUUCGAGUGAUACACUUUCCGCUAAUACUACUUUUAUUUGGAAUUUUAGUCAACUUGAUUAAAAACUUCUAGUGUAACAACAAAAGGGAAGCCCCUGUGCUGGCCGCAAUCUUGUUUUUAUUUGUGAUACCGCUGUUAUUCCUCACGGGCCUAGCAAAAUGUGAGCCCAGAAAAACCGCUGGCUAAUGUCUCUUAUUUCUGGGAAUGCAAUGAAAACAAAAUGUGUAGUGCACAAAGAAUUACGGACAGGUCAAUUUUCCAAGUUUAUCCUGACCGUGAUACUUUGCGUCUAUGCAAGCUUCGGCGACUGGUUGUGUCUAUUCAAGCUUCGACAAAUUUACGAGUCUGCCUCUGAGACUGAAUCUGUAUCCAUUUUUUUUUGUCAUCACUGUAGCCUACAGCCACAGUCCCUUACAUUUUGGUCGGGUUGUCUGUGGUGGGUACGUCACGUCACAGGGAAACCUGCCCUCCAUUGGCAGCUGAGCUUGACCUAGGUCCCUCAAGGAUUAUCCUCCACCACAGGAAACCCGAGGAGAAUGUCAGGCACUUCAUUGCUAGCAUUUGAAACGGAGAAGCGAAAGCUUGCGUGAUGAGGUUUAACGAAAUAUUGGUACAUUAAAUUUGUAUUGCUGAAUAUAGUGUUAGCGUUAGCGCCAUUAGUGAUCAAUUACAUUCCACACUUGUAAAUAUAACAGAGAUAAUAAACAAUCACAGAAACUGA